GUGGGGAUAGCUCAGUGGUAGGGUGCACAUUUAGCACGCAUGAGGUCCUGGGUUUAAUCCCCAGUACCUCCA
rnacentral:tRNA from 1 species